GAUGAACGCUGACAGAAUGCUUAACACAUGCAAGUCUAUGGCGAAGCUGUGCUUGCACAGCCUAGCCAAGGCGGACGGGUGAGUAACGCGUAAGGAACUUGCCCUGCAGUCAGGGAUAACAGACGGAAACGACUGAUAAGACCUGGUAAAGUCAGGCGGACUCAUGUCCAGCCUGAUGAAAAGAGAUGCUGCAGGAGAGCCUUGCGUCCUAUUAGCUUGUUGGUGGGGUAACGGCCCACCAAGGCGAUGAUAGGUAGCCGGCCUGAGAGGGUGGACGGCCACAAGGGGACUGAGAUACGGCCCUUACUCCUACGGGAGGCAGCAGUGGGGAAUAUUGGACAAUGGGGGCAACCCUGAUCCAGCAAUUCUGUGUGCACGAUGAAGGUUUUCGGAUUGUAAAGUGCUUUCAGCAGGGAAGAAAAAAAUGACGGUACCUGCAGAAGAAGCGACGGCUAAAUACGUG
rnacentral:rRNA from 1 species